rnacentral:rRNA from 1 species
GAUGAACGCUGGCGGCAUGCUCAACACAUGCAAGCCGGGCGGGAAGUUUUGUUGUCAGUGGCGGACGGACGAGGAACGCGCAAGUAUCUGCCACUGGGAGGGGAACAACAGCUGGAAACGGCUGCCAAGACUCCGCAGGCUGAGGAGCAAAAGGAGGAAUCCGCCUGAGGAGGGGCUUGCGUCUGAUUAGCUAGUUGGUGAGGCACUAGCUUACCAAGGCGAUGCUCCGUAGCUGGUCCGAGAGGAUGCUCGGCCACACUGGCACUGAGACACGGCCCAGACUCCUCCUUGAGGCACCCCUGGCCACUUUUCCUCCACGGGACAAAGCCUGUAGGAGCUACGUCGCGUAGUGGUAGGCCGCAUACGAGUAGUGGGCAUCUUUUCCCUGACAAAAAGCAAUCACGGUAUCUGGGGCAUAGACUUCCGCUAACUUCGUG